GUGGGGAAUCUUGCGCAAUGGGCGAAAGCCUGAUCCAGCCAUGCCGCGUGAACGAUGAAGGCCUUCGGGUUGUAAAGUUCUUUAGCCGAUGAUUAUAAUGACUGUAGUCGGAAAAUAAGCCCCGGCUAACUUCGUGCCAGCAGCCGCGGUAAUACGAAGGGGGCGAGCGUUAUUCGGAAUCACUGGGCGUAAAGCGUGCGUAGGCGGUCUCGUAAGUUAGGAGUGAAAGCCCAGGGCUCAACCUUGGAAUUGCCUUUAAUACUGCAAGGCUAGAAUCUCGGAGAGGAUAGCGGAAUUUCCAGUGUAGCAGUGAAAUGCGUAGAUAUUGGAAGGAACACCAGUGGCGUAAGCGGCUAUCUGGACGAGUAUUGACGCUGAGGCACGAAAGCGUGGGGAUCAAACAGGAUUAGAUACCCGAGUAGUCC
rnacentral:rRNA from 1 species